GACGAACGCUGGCGGCGUGCUUAACACAUGCAAGUCGAGCGGUAAGGCCCUUUCGGGGGUACGACGAGCGGCGAACGGGUGAGUAACACGUGGGUGACCUGCCCUCGGCUCUGGGAUAAGCCUGGGAAACCGGGUCUAAUACCGGAUAUGACUCCAUGACGCAUGUUGUGGGGUGGAAAGCCUUGUGCGGCUGAGGAUGGGCCCGCGGCCUAUCAGCUUGUUGGUGGGGUGAGGCCUACCAAGGCGACGACGGGUAGCCGGCCUGAGAGGGCGACCGGCCACACUGGGACUGAGACACGGCCCAGACUCCUACGGGAGGCAGCAGUGGGGAAUCUUGCGCAAUGGGCGAAAGCCUGACGCAGCGACGCCGCGUGAGGGAUGACGGCCU
rnacentral:rRNA from 1 species